CACCAGAGGUUUUUUCUCUCUUUUGUCUUCAUUGUUGUCAUGUCGCUUUGAUACCGACGCCACUUUGUAGGGUUGCUGGAAAGCAGGCAAAGUUAGCAAGGCAUGCAAAGCUGUGGUAGCGACGGCAGUUCGGCAGUCUGUCCGGGUGACGGUAACCUCGUUCGGUAGCUCUAGCACGCCGUUGGAGUCUCGCCGUCUAGCCCAGCUUGGUUUGGAACAGCGCUCGGUGAAGAGAAUCUACGCGUGCGGACGACUUGUGCUAGGGCGUUUGGGCGCAGGGAACCGCGGGUGCUGGCAGUCGCAUCCUGCAACAGGAAAUUUGUCCGAAUACUUGUACCUGAGUAGCCGUCCCAUCGGAUCUCGAAGGACUAGGUGAGUUUCGUUCAUGGCAUCAUGUACUGUUAUCCCCCAACGGGAUGAUCGCUGUGGACGUAAUACGUAUUGAUUCAGUCGCGUUGUGGCGACACAAGUUUAAAUUAAAUUUUACUGUUUCUACCGAAUAUCUCAGUACAAAGUCCAGUAAAUGUUUCCAUUGGUCCCUAAGAGGUAUGUUAGAUCUGGACACGCUAAGUUGUCUGGGUGACACUAGCCCAAAAGGCGUAUGUAAACGUGGUACAAGACUUACAGUAUGCACUGAUCUCCUGAACUCUCAGACUCUACAAUGCAUGUACAGUGUUGCUCAAUGAAAUCCAGUCGCGUCACUCAAGUACACACCGGGCGUUCCAUGGACCUAGACAAGGGAACACUACAGUCCAUUCAGAAAAAGACGAGCGCUGGCUCUGGAGAGCUCCCGUGUUUGGUGAUUUGCCAGUGCCGCGAGAUUCGAAACUCGAAAAGGGUCCAAAAAAGAUACCUCACCUGGGGUUUGAACCGCAAAUGUACUGUUCUGCAAGUGGAGUGCGGGGGUUGGAUUUCCAUGGCUUUUCCCCAAUUCAGUGCUUUGGGGGCAGAACAUGGCCGGAAUCAUAUUCUUGUUAUGGCUUGCUCUUUGGAGAAAAAAACUUCCAAAACAUAAUUGGAAGAGCAUUCCAUGGGCGAUUGCCAAAAAAUUGUGACAAAACUCAAAAUUUGACCCAUUUAUGGCCAAGAGCUAGGAUAUCAUCUUUUUCUGAAUGGACUUUAGGCUGUGAAAUGGUGCAAGGCGCAAACUUGAGAUUUCACGACUGGAUUUCAGGGAGCAGGACUGUACACGCUUGUAUUGGGCACUUUAGCGUAAGAGCUGCUGUAGUCUACCGUAGGAUCCCACAGAUAGGCUCACUAUCUCGUUGGAGAGUUCUUGUAUGAUGCACAUUGCCAUAGCGACCAGAGCAGUGAUGGUGCACAUUUUGCUUCCAUCAGGAAUACAAUCAGACAAUUGAAAAUGACAAUAUCCUGAAGUGUCCGACCGUCUCUCUCGCGGAGCUAAGCGGAAUGUGCGUCAUCACUGCGCUGGUCGCUAUGGCAGCGUGGAUCAUGCUUUUGGCGAUUUGGCAAGUUUGGUUCAUUGUAUGCAAGCGAUAGAUAUGCCAUUCGAACCGACGUCAAAUUGUCUUUCACGCUGAACCCUACUUGACAAAUCGAUGCAUUUGCCCCUGAAAAUCGUGUUGAUUGUGUUGGUACUGGAAUGGCUCAAGCGAAAACAAGUUGUGCUGCCACCGGGGACAGUCAAUUCCAGUGCACGAGUGCUAGGCGGGACGCGAGAAAGUUGAAUUAAAGUUGCAUUGAACCAAGAUCAUAGUUCAACACUCUCCGUCAUGGACUCUGGUUUUAGCAGUAUUAGCUGGUUUAUAUUCCUGCUGAUUUUCUCGCUACUUCUGAGUCAUAUUCCUGCAUGUCAGUAAGCCUAUGUCCAGGCCCAGAGCUUGAACAUGAUGACGUCGGAAGUCAACAGGGAACAACGUCUGUGUGGAAUUGGACUUACACUUACCAUAGCAAAGUACAGUAUGCAGUUGGAAAGGCCCUUGUGUUGCAUGUGUAACAGGAGGGGGUCUCCGACCAGGAGAGCACAGGUCUGUUACUGACAGCAAAUGCUUCAGCCUUGUGUGUAGAAGACCACCCAUAUGUGUAGGCAUCUGGACAAAAUCUGAAUCCAGGUGAAUCCAAAAUUCAGUGUUGUCAUGACACUGGGUGAUAGUACUUUCAAGACCUCUUAGCCAACCCUACAGCAUAUCUCAACCUUAUUAUAAUCCCGCCGGAGAUCUGUUUGUAUGUAUGUGCCUGUGUGCCACAAAUCUUCAUUGCAAUGCAUCCAGGACACAAUCUUGUGUUAAUGCGUAUGUGUUGUCCCAGCCCUUUUCGAGGGUAUGUGCCCCUUUUGGCACGUGUGUGCUGGGUCCGCGUGGUCGGUGUGCGGACCGCGAGCGGACCGCGCAGGUUGCGCAUGUCUGCAUUUGGGCGCAUUCUUGUUGUUCUGGUUUUGCCUUCUUGUUGAGAUUUUCUUUGGAGUAAAGACAAAUAUCAGUCUUCUGUUUGUGGUACAUGUGAGAGAGUAAUCGGAAGGGCUAUCGUCAGGUCAAAAAAAAAACCGACGACAAUUGGCACCCGGCUAGUGGCAUCGUCCCCACGACCCUGCGAUAAACCUGUCGUCCGCGGUCUUUCCGGUUUCUUUUUUCUUCACCUGCCUCCUGCGUUCUUUGGCGAUCCCUCUGUGCUUUAUGUCUCGGCAAGUCUCCUUCGCGCGUCCAAGCUGGCCGCCAGCGAGGCAAUUCAGGUAAGCCAGAGCAGCUGCUUUUAGUUCACUGCUAGACAUUGUUGGGGCAUUAGCCUGUAAAGCCUGUAUUGUGACAUUUGUUUAGUGUUGGCCUGCUUGUGUCGACGUAGUCCUGCUAUGGGUCACUGUACCCUCCGGGUGUAUUUUUGUUCCUCUGUGUUUCGUUACCUGGAGUAGUUGUGGCCUCAUGUCUAAGGUUACAGUAGAAGCGCCUGGAAGAUGGCUGAUACCGAAACCGUUCGGGAGAGGAUCUCCAGGCCUUCCUGAACGAUUUAAGGUUAUGUUUGCAGGCUAAUAAGUAUAUCCCAGUUACCCAACCCCAUGACACGAUUGAUGCGGCCUCGCAGGGGAGGUUAGAAUUAAUGGCCCGUGUUGUGUUGUGUACGAGCCUCACUGGCAGUGCGGCUCUCAUGUUGGAAUCCUUGUCGGACAUGCAGCAGGAGGAUCGCGCGGAGAUCGAGACCGCUCUGCAUGCUCGCUUUGGUGACACGGGCAAGGAGUUGCUCCGCCAAACUGAGCUUCAGGCUCGGAAACGCCAGGCGGGUGAGACCCUAACUGAAUUGGGCAACGCUAUCCAGGUAUUGGUGGCUAAGGCAUAUCCGGGGGCGCCUGGUACCAUUCUUAACACCGUGUCUAUCCGUACUUUUGUGGACGCUUUGUCUCCCCACGUCGUGUGGAGGACCACAAGCCGCAGACGCUAGUGCACGCCGUUCAAAAGGCAGUCGUCCUGGAGACGCCGGACCAGUUGCGCCCGGCCGCUGAACCUGUGUUCGUCGCGUCGGCCACGCCUGAAAUCACGGCGCGCCUGGAUAGUUUGGAGAAAUUAUGUGCAACGCAAACCAGUCUGCUCGAAAGCCUCUGUGCGCAGCGCGAGAGUCCGGCUCCCGACCACUGGUCACGAGGUCCACGCUGUUUUGGUUGUGGCCAACUUGGUCACCUCCGCCGAGAUUGUCACUCAAAUCCACGUGACCGUGGGCGUAAUCCUCGUGAACACCAGGUUAACACCAGAUCUUUAAACUAGAUGAGGCGGCUGGUGUGGGUCGUCCCACCGCCUUACCUAGGCGUGUUGGUUCUACUGAGGAAAUAGCUGUAGCCCUACCUAUUUUUGUAGAGGAGGAGAAUGAGUGUGACCCUGAUACAUGUAUGCAUGUGUGCAUCAGUGACGCCGACCUCGCUGAGUCGGUGGUGGUUCCGCCAGGUACGAUUCCGGAGAUUGUGAUAACACCAGAUAUUGAGCCUGUGUUGUUUUCUAAUGCUGCCUCUCUGUCUGUGUGCGUUGUGUGUGAUGUGUGUGCUUUCGAGCAUACUCCGGCGGAAUCUCACCUAUGUACUCUGGCUUCCGCUCCGCUGUCCACCCCACCGUCUAUUCCGGUCGAGUUAUCGGAUUCCCUCCCGGUGGAGGCUGUCAUGGCUUACACCGAUGCGGUUCCGUUCUACAUCCACCGCGCCGGCACCAGUCUCUUUGCACAAGCGUGGUGUGUGUUUAGGGCAGUUCCUGCCGGUGGAGGGCUCUCGAUCGGAUGUUCCGACAAUGGUGGGCGCGGCAGUGGGUGUGCAGUCGGUGUCAUCCACAUCUUCUCCGGCGGACCGGUUUGAUCUCUCUCGCUUUGCGGGCACGGCGCAGGAACGUCAAUCUCUGGUCAGUCUCUUGAACAAAUUUGGGGAUGUGAUUGCAGAAGGCGACUGUGAUGUUGAGGAAACCCCUAUUCUCGAACAUGUUAUUGAUACAGGGACCACACACCCUAUCCGCCAAGGCCCCCGACGCCUUUCCCGCCCAGGGUUAGGAUUGUUGCCGAGGAGGUGGAGAAGAUGUUAGGAAAGGGUAUCAUCUCCCCUAGUGUGUCCCCUUGGGCUAGCCCCAUUGUAUUGGUAAAAAAGCCCGACGGUUCGGUCCAGUUUUGUGUAGACUACCGUAAACUGAAUGACGUCACCCACAAAGACUCCCACCCAUUACCUCGGAUUUAUGAUACACUCGAUAGGCUGGGUGGGGCUCAGUUUUUCUCGAUACUGGACUUACAGUCCGGCUAUUUGCAAGUUCCGGUGGCGGGAAAAGACCAGGAGAAAACAGCUUUCAUCACGUCACAGGGUUUCUAUGAGUUCAAACGUAUGCCUUUUGGUCUAUGUAAUGCUCCGGCCACAUUUCAACGCAUGAUGCAUGCUGUCCUGCGGGGUCUUUCUCCCCUGUAUUGUUUAGUUUAUUUGGACGGCGUCAUUGUUUUCUCGCACACGUUUCGAGACCACUUGCCCAGGUUGGAGGCGGUGUUGACCGCGUUGCGACACGCCAGGUUGAAGAUUAAACCAAGGAAAUGCCAUCUCUUAUUAGGAGAGGUUAAUUUCCUUGGCCAUGUGGUUUUGGCAGAGGGGAUCACAACUGAUCCGGAAAAGGUCCAGGCAGCACGUGAGUGGAAGGCGCCAACCAAUCUAAAGUUAUUACCCGCUUUUCCGCGAUCGCACAUCCGCUGCAUGAUCUGCUCCGUAGGGACGUUUCGUUUGCGUGGUCAGCUGAACAUCAGGCUGUGUUUCGGAAGUUGUGUGUAGCGUUUUGUGAGGCACCUAUUUUGGCAAUUCCGGAUUUUUCUCUACCUUUUAAUGUUGACACUGAUGCCAGUGUUUCCGGCUUAGGUGCGGUGGUCGAGGCGCACGCCGGUUAAACAUCUGGCCAUUUUGGUUCAGACCGCAUAUUGGCUCGGCUUCGUAAAGUCGCAUACUGGCCGGGAAUAUCGGUCGAUGUCUCGGUGUUUUAUAAAUGUUGUACAGUGUGUGAGCGUGGCAAAGAUUUGCCUAGGGCUCGGCACUGUGCGUGUGGUUGCCCUGUUUGAGGUCAUUACCAUGGAUAUCAUGGGACCCUUACCUCUCACUGCUCGUGGGAAUAAAAUAAUUAUACCCUACAGUCCAUUCAUCGGAAACAGUCCUGCUGGUUUCUGAAAGUCGGAUUUGGGCCGAAUUGAGGAUCAAAAACCCACUGAAAAUCUCAAAAAUCUGGGUUUUGGAUCUGCUUCUCCAUACAUUUUGCAAGGGCAUACCUGUCCUAAUUUUGCAAAACCUGGCUGAAUUUCUAUUUCCCUGUUCUUGGACUUUUUGUGGCCUCAAAUGUGGCAAGGAGUAAAUGGACGGGUCACACAAUGCAGAAUGUAAUGUUUUUUCAUGGUAUCUACAACUAUGUGCGGGAGACACCAAAAAGUUAGAGUGGCAGUUUCCAAUGAAUGGACUGUAGUGGUUGGAGACCAUUUUUCUCAAUGGGUUGAAAUUCUUCCCCUUCAGGACAUGAGAGCUGAGACUGUGGGGGACCUUUUGGUCGAACGGGUAUUUAUGAAGUUUGGUGUCCCUAGCCAGUUGCACUCGGAUCGGGGCCCAAAUUUUGAGAGCCGUCUGAUGUAUGGCUGAAAAGAAUAUUCGAAUAUUCGAUUGAUAUUCGUUAGGAGCCCGAUGGAAGGAAUAUUUUCCCCUUUAGAACAUUCGUUCGUUUUGACACGUGCGCACACUCUGCUCCUGUCGAUCUAUUUGUAGUAAUUCUUGAACGGAUGGAGUGAUAUGUACAUGUGUUUUGUGCUGAGAAAGGGGACUAUGACUCACAGGAGUAGUGGACAUGACUCCACUAGACAUCUACUUGGGCUAGAACAACUGGGGACUAGCCAAACUCUUUCUAAGAUUCUUUAGGUAUAGAAUAUUCGAUUCAUUCACAAAAAAAUCGAUUUAGUUCCUAUUUAAAUAAUUGUUUCACCCUUAGAAAUAAUUCAGCAUUUUGAGAGAAUAUUCGUUAUUCGUUCGUUAUGGAUGAGUAUUCGUUCGUUUGUGAAAUAGAAUAUUCGU